AGUGAACGCUGGCGGUAGGCCUAACACAUGCAAGUCGAACGACAGCACAGUAAGAGCUUGCUCUUACGGGUGGCGAGUGGCGGACGGGUGAGGAAUACAUCGGAAUCUACUUUUUCGUGGGGGAUAACGUAGGGAAACUUACGCUAAUACCGCAUACGACCUACGGCUGAAAGCAGGGGAUCUUCGCACCUUUCCCGUUUGAAUGAGACGAUGUCGGAUUAGCUAGUUGGUAAGGUAAAGGCCCACCAAGGCGACGAUGCGUAGCUGACCUGAGAGGAUGAUCGGCCACACUGGAACUGAGAAACGGUCCAGACUCCGACGGGAGGCAGCAGUAGGGAAUCUUCCGCAAUGGGCGAAAGCCUGACGGAGCAACGCCGCGUGAGUGAUGAAGGUCUUCGGAUCGUAAAACUCUGUUAUUAGGGAAGAACAAAUGUGUAAGUAACUAUGCACGUCUUGACGGUACCUAAUCAGAAAGCCACGGCUAACUACGUG
rnacentral:rRNA from 1 species